rnacentral:lncRNA from 1 species
CAGGAUCCUUUUCCCAGGAAGAUUAAACACAAGGACAAGGGUAACGACAAAACGGUGAAUGUUUUGUUCCCAACUUUCCUUGUAAAAAGGGCAAGGUUCGAAGGAAUGCAAAGAAAGAUGGAAAAUUCUAUAAACGGGGUUUGUAUUGAUGUUUUUUUGUGUAUUAUUGGAGCUGGAAAAAGAAAUAUCGGACCAGAAAAAACUAGUUUCGGUAAAGGAAAAGGAUCUUUUCAUAAUAAUUGAAUUGCAUAGUGGCAGGGGCGGUGGCCGCGAUGGAGAGGUGGCGCCGCCGGUGUAUGCAAAGUGGGAGAGGGGGGAGACAGAAAGAUUUUGUAAUGGUGAAACGAGAUUUUCUCCAACCUUG